UGACGGCCACAUCACGUUGAAACAUUGGUACCUGUAGGAUUACCGAAGUUAAGCAACGUUAAACCUGGUCAGUACCUAGGUGGAUGACCAUCUGGGAAUCCUAGGUGCUGUAAU